rnacentral:rRNA from 1 species
AUUGAACGCUGGCGGCAUGCUUUACACAUGCAAGUCGAACGGUAACAGGCCUUCGGGUGCUGACGAGUGGCGAACGGGUGAGUAAUGCAUCGGAACGUACCCAGAGGUGGGGGAUAACGCAGCGAAAGCUGUGCUAAUACCGCAUGUGAUCUGAGGAUGAAAGCGGGGGACCGAGCAGCAAUGUUUGGCCUCGCGCCUUUGGAGCGGCCGAUGUCGGAUUAGCUAGUUGGUGGGGUAAAGGCCUACCAAGGCGACGAUCCGUAGCUGGCCUGAGAGGACGACCAGCCACACUGGGACUGAGACACGGCCCAGACUCCUACGGGAGGCAGCAGUGGGGAAUUUUGGACAAUGGGCGCAAGCCUGAUCCAGCAAUGCCGCGUGCGGGAAGAAGGCCUUCGGGUUGUAAACCGCUUUUGGCAGGAACGAAACGGUGUCCGCUAAUACCGGGCGCUAAUGACGGUACCUGCAGAAUAAGCACCGGCUAACUACGUG